UAGGAGUUCACAUGAGCGACUGUUUGUUUAUGGAGUUCUAUGUCAAGAAACGACGUGCAUUCCUCGAACGAUGUGGCUUUAUCAAAGUAUAUGGGUGGAGUUCUUAUCUUGGAGCGACGCUUCUGGACUUGUUUUCCUGAUCUCUGCCGUCCUUCGCGGCAUGGUUUCUUAUGUUGCAGAUCCCGAACGCUGGCGAGGAAACAGAAGCAUGCGGAUCGAGUUGGAGGUGUGAAUUCAUUGAGUUUCGUUUGCGUGGCCGUCGGUUCCGAUUCUGCCGCGUUCCAUCCG
rnacentral:lncRNA from 1 species